AGCAGCCGCGGUAAUUCCAGCUCCAAUAGCGUAUAUUAAAGUUGUUGCAGUUAAAAAGCUCGUAGUUGAAUUUCGAGAUCAGUACGCCGGUCGUGCCUUCGGUAUGAACUGGUGUCACUGGUUUCUCCCUUCUGAAGAACCAUCAUGCCAUUCAGUUGGUGUGGCGGGGAAUCAGGACUGUUACUUUGAAAAAUUAGAGUGUUUAAAGCAGGCUCGCGCUUGAAUACAUUAGCAUGGAAUAAUGAAAUAGGACGUUUGACCCUAUUUUGUUGGUUUCUAGGAUCGACGUAAUGAUUAAUAGGGAUAGUUGGGGCAUUAGUAUUCAAUUGUCAGAGGUGAAAUUCUUGG
rnacentral:rRNA from 1 species